rnacentral:tRNA from 1 species
GCGGGGAUGGCAGAGUGGCCAAAUGCGAUGGACUCAAGAUCCAUUUCCUUAGUGGAUACGGGGGUUCGAAUGAAAAACUGCGUUUUUCACCCGGAAAAUGUUAGUUUUUUUGAAUGUCCCUCUCCCCGCA